GGAAGGUGCAAGCGUUAAUCGGAAUUACUGGGCGUAAAGCGCGCGUAGGCGGCUAGAUAAGUCGGGUGUGAAAGCCCUGGGCUCAACCUGGGAACUGCAUUCGAUACUGUCUAGCUAGAGUGUGGUAGAGGGAGGCGGAAUUCCGCAUGUAGCGGUGAAAUGCGUAGAGAUGCGGAGGAACACCAAUGGCGAAGGCAGCCUUCUGGACCAACACUGACGCUGAGGCGCGAAAGCGUGGGGAGCAAACAGGAUUAGAUACCCUGGUAGUCCCACGCCGUAAACGAUGUCAACUAGCCGUUGGGAGCAAUUUGGCUCUUGGUGGCGCAGCUAACGCGAUAAGUUGACCGCCUGGGGAGUACGGUCGCAAGAUUA
rnacentral:rRNA from 1 species